CACACUUCUUAAACAGAACUAGGCCCUCAACAGUGGUAGGAAACCUGGGUUAUUGAGGGGAGUAGCUUUCUUUGAAGAGCCCCCCAGGGAGCAUGAUAGGUUCCUGUGGGUGAGUUCUAAAUUAGAGCCUAAAGGGAAUUGAAGUCAAGCCUGGGAGGGGUGAAGGAGCUGCUGUAUGUCAAGUUGAGCUCAGGAGAGUGAAGAACCUGUUGUUUAGAGGUGAAUACUGGAAGGGGACUGAGCUGUUGUGUGAUUUGGCUGGAGGGCUGAGACCCUGAAGCCCUUGUGAGGCAGUCUGGGGAGGAGAUCAGCUGAGUGUGAUUGCUCUGGCCACAGGAGGUGGGUGAGGUAAAGAACCUUGCAAUGCCACGUCCAGAUGUGAAGACAUGACCUAGAGGGGAUGAGCCAUAUCCGCUCUCAAACUGUCACGACUGAUGGAUUGAUUUAAAAUUGCAGCAGAGAACCACAGAAGAAUGUGAAGAGAGACACCCGAGUGACAAAAUCUGGAGUCGAACUGAGUUCUUGGGAAGCUGAGUGGAAAGAGAUCUUGGAGGGAAUCCCAACAUAGUGUGCCAGGACUUGGAUCCAUUCAUCUGGAGCAGAAUCCCUGGGAAGUCUGAGGAUCACAAGAGCCCAUUUUUACAUCUGAUGACUCAUGACCUUUGAAGAUCUUUGCUCCCUGCUGUACAUGGACACUAAAGAUCCACAAAAGACUUGAAAGAUUCCUCAGGACAGAUACGGUAGUUUGCUGCCUCUGAAUCAAGCACUGUAUGAGUUUUAUCUGAUGCUGCAAAAUAGCUCAAGGCCUAACUUUGUGUCUAAGUUUUGCCUACCAGCUUUUAGGUAUCACUAGUCUUCACUGAUCCAGACUCUGUUAUGGACAUUGCAAAUGGAAAUAGGCAUAUUUGAUCACUGUCCCUUCUUACCUUUCCAGCCAAUGCACAAGUCAUUAAAGCAGCACAAUCUGCUCAUCUCCAGUAGAGUUGGCUGGGGAAUGCUUUUUGCCCCCAUGAAAAUUUUCAGCAAAAAGAAAAUUGCUGUCCACUAAAAUAUUUGGGUUUUAAUCAAAAAUAACUGGAAACUUUGGUUGUGAACAGAAUUGUUGGUGUUGUUUGACGUAUCCUCCUGAAGAACAAAUUUCCUUAAUGAAAAUUUCUUUUUUGACAAAACUCCGCUUGCGGUGAUAAAAUUAGAAUGGUGCUGAGGAUGGAUGUUCCAUUUCAUGAACGAUUUCAUGGAUUUGAGAUCAAAUGGAAUCAUCGCCUACUCAUCCUAUGCUCGGGAGACGGUUCUUUUGAAUCAA